UACGUAGGGUGCAAGCGUUGUUCGGAAUUACUGGGCGUAAAGCGCACGUAGGCGGCUUGGUAAGUUAGAGGUGAAAGCCUGGAGCUCAACUCCAGAAUUGCCUUUAAGACUGCCGAGCUAGCAGGUGAGAGAGGUGAGUGGAAUUCCGAGUGUAGAGGUGAAAUUCGUAGAUAUUCGGAAGAACACCAGUGGCGAAGGCGGCUCACUGGCUCAUACUGGACGCUGAGGUGCGAAAGCGUGGGGAGCAAACAGG
rnacentral:rRNA from 1 species